rnacentral:rRNA from 1 species
UAGUUGCUGGGUAUAGACCCGAAACCGGGUGAUCUAUCCAUGAGCAGGUUGAAGGUUGGGUAACACUAACUGGAGGACCGAACCCACUGUCGUUGAAAAGCCAGGGGAUGACUUGUGGAUAGGGGUGAAAGGCUAAUCAAACUCGGUGAUAGCUGGUUCUCCCCGAAAGCUAUUUAGGUAGCGCCUCGGACGAAUACCAUUGGGGGUAGAGCACUGUUUCGGCUAGGGGGUCAUCCCGACUUACCAAACCGAUGCAAACUCCGAAUACCAAUGAGUACUAUCCGGGAGACAGACUGCGGGUGCUAACGUCCGUAGUCAAGAGGAAAACAAUCCAGACCGCCAGCUAAGGCCCCAAAAUCAUAGUUAAGUGGGAAACGAUGUGGGAAGGCAUAGACAGCUAGGAGGUUGGCUUAGAAGCAGCCACCCUUUAAAGAAAGCGUAAUAGCUCACUAGUCGAGUCGGCCUGCGCGGAAGAUGUAACGGGGCUAAAACUAUGUGCCGAAGCUGCGGAUG